rnacentral:rRNA from 1 species
UACGGAGGAUGCGAGCGUUAUCCGGAUUUAUUGGGUUUAAAGGGUGCGUAGGCGGGAUGCCAAGUCAGCGGUAAAAAUGCGGUGCUCAACGCCGUCGAGCCGUUGAGACUGGCGUUCUUGAGUGGGCGAGAAGUAUGCGGAAUGCGUGGUGUAGCGGUGAAAUGCAUAGAUAUCACGCAGAACUCCGAUUGCGAAGGCAGCAUACCGGCGCCCUACUGACGCUGAGGCACGAAAGCGUGGCUAUCGAACAGG